rnacentral:rRNA from 1 species
UACGGGGGGGGGCAAGCGUUGUUCGGAAUUACUGGGCGUAAAGGGCUCGUAGGCGGCCUGUUAAGUCGAACGUGAAAUCCCCGGGCUCAACCCGGGAACUGCGUCCGAUACUGGCAGGCUUGAAUCCGGGAGAGGGAUGUGGAAUUCCAGGUGUAGCGGUGAAAUGCGUAGAUAUCUGGAGGAACACCGGUGGCGAAGGCGGCAUCCUGGACCGGUAUUGACGCUCAGGCACGAAAGCGUGGGGAGCAAACAGG